rnacentral:rRNA from 1 species
AAACGUAGGAGGCGAGCGUUAUCCGGAUUUACUGGGUGUAAGCGCGUGCAGGCGGUCUUGUAAGUCAUGCGUGAAAGCGCUCAGGCUCAACCGGGCGAGGACGUGUGAGACUGCGGGACUAGAGGCAGGUAGAGGCGCGUGGAAUUCCGGGUGUAGUGGUGAAAUGCGUAGAUAUCCGGAGGAACACCAGUGGCGAAGGCGGCGCGCUGGGCCUGUUCUGACGCUAAGACGCGAAAGCAUGGGGAGCGAACGGGAUUAGAAACCCCAGUAGUCC